AUCGAACGCUGGCGGCAUGCCUAAUACAUGCAAGUCGAGCGCCGCUUCGGACGGGUGAGUAAUGCCUAGGAAUUUGCCUGUUAGUGGCGUACCACUUCCGGAAACGUGCCCUAAUACCGCAUACUUUCAGAUGAGCCUAGGUGGGAUCAGCUAGUUGGUGGGGUAAUGGCUUACCAAGGCGACGAUCCGUAACUGAUCUGAGAGGAUGAUCAGUCACACUGGAACUGAGACACGGGCCAGACUCCUACGGGAGGCAGCAGUGGGGAAUAUUGGACAAUGGGCGAAAGCCUGAUCCAGCCAUGCCGCGUGUGUGAAGAAGGUCUUCGGAUUGUAAAGCACUUUAAGUUGGGAGGCGUUACCAACAGAAUAAGCACCGGCUAACUUCGUGCCAGCAGCCGCGGUAAUAC
rnacentral:rRNA from 1 species